rnacentral:lncRNA from 1 species
AUUUGCUCAGCCCUCUAGACCUAGCUCAGCCAGUGGGAGCAAGGUUAAGAUGACAGACUAUAUGAAGCUGGGUGCUCCCCAGUUUGAGACCGGUGAUGAUCCGUUCGUGUACUUGGAGCGGGUCAAGGCAAUUACAGAUGAGAUAGGGGCUGAUAACAGUAGAGCCAUUCAGAUGGCCGGGUUCACGCUUAAGUGCAAGAAGGCACGGGAGUGGUACAAGAAUUAUGUGAACCCG